rnacentral:rRNA from 1 species
UGAGUAACCUGCCCCUGACUCUGGGAUAAGCCUGGGAAACCGGGUCUAAUACCGGAUGUGACCUCCUCCGGCAUCGGAUGGUGGUGGAAAGUUUUUCGGUCAGGGAUGGGCUCGCGGCCUAUCAGCUUGUUGGUGGGGUAGUGGCCUACCAAGGCGACGACGGGUAGCCGGCCUGAGAGGGCGACCGGCCACACUGGGACUGAGACACGGCCCAGACUCCUACGGGAGGCAGCAGUGGGGAAUAUUGCGCAAUGGGCGGAAGCCUGACGCAGCGACGCCGCGUGGGGGAUGACGGCCUUCGGGUUGUAAACCUCUUUCAGCAGGGACGAAGUUGACGUGUACCUGCAGAAGAAGCGCCGGCUAACUACGUGCCAGCAGCCGCGGUAAUACGUAGGGCGCAAGCGUUGUCCGGAAUUAUUGGGCGUAAAGAGCUCGUAGGUGGCUGGUCGCGUCUGCCGUGAAAGCCCGCAGCUUAACUGCGGGUCUGCGGUGGAUACGGCCCGGCUAGAGGUAGGUAGGGGCAAGUGGAAUUCCU